rnacentral:rRNA from 1 species
UUGAUUGAUGGUGCUUGCACCUGAUUGAUUUUGGUCGCCAACGAGUGGCGGACGGGUGAGUAACACGUAGGUAACCUGCCCAGAAGCGGGGGACAACAUUUGGAAACAGAUGCUAAUACCGCAUAACAGCGUUGUUCGCAUGAACAACGCUUAAAAGAUGGCUUCUCGCUAUCACUUCUGGAUGGACCUGCGGUGCAUUAGCUUGUUGGUGGGGUAACGGCCUACCAAGGCGAUGAUGCAUAGCCGAGUUGAGAGACUGAUCGGCCACAAUGGGACUGAGACACGGCCCAUACUCCUACGGGAGGCAGCAGUAGGGAAUCUUCCACAAUGGGCGCAAGCCUGAUGGAGCAACACCGCGUGAGUGAAGAAGGGUUUCGGCUCGUAAAGCUCUGUUGUUAAAGAAGAACACGUAUGAGAGUAACUGUUCAUACGUUGACGGUAUUUAACCAGAAAGUCACGGCUAACUACGUGCCAGCAGCCGCGGUAAUACGUAGGUGGCAAGCGUUAUCCGGAUUUAUUGGGCGUAAAGAGAGUGCAGGCGGUUUUCUAAGUCUGAUGUGAAAGCCUUCGGCUUAACCGGAGAAGUGCAUCGGAAACUGGAUAACUUGAGUGCAGAAGAGGGUAGUGGAACUCCAUGUGUAGCGGUGGAAUGCGUAGAUAUAUGGAAGAACACCAGUGGCGAAGGCGGCUACCUGGUCUGCAACUGACGCUGAGACUCGAAAGCAUGGGUAGCGAACAGGAUUAGAUACCCUGGUAGUCCAUGCCGUAAACGAUGAGUGCUAGGUGUUGGAGGGUUUCCGCCCUUCAGUGCCGGAGCUAACGCAUUAAGCACUCCGCCUGGGGAGUACGACCGCAAGGUUGAAACUCAAAGGAAUUGACGGGGGCCCGCACAAGCGGUGGAGCAUGUGGUUUAAUUCGAAGCUACGCGAAGAACCUUACCAGGUCUUGACAUCUUGCGCCAACCCUAGAGAUAGGGCGUUUCCUUCGGGAACGCAAUGACAGGUGGUGCAUGGUCGUCGUCAGCUCGUGUCGUGAGAUGUUGGGUUAAGUCCCGCAACGAGCGCAACCCUUGUUACUAGUUGCCAGCAUUAAGUUGGGCACUCUAGUGAGACUGCCGGUGACAAACCGGAGGAAGGUGGGGACGACGUCAGAUCAUCAUGCCCCUUAUGACCUGGGCUACACACGUGCUACAAUGGACGGUACAACGAGUCGCGAACUCGCGAGGGCAAGCAAAUCUCUUAAAACCGUUCUCAGUUCGGACUGCAGGCUGCAACUCGCCUGCACGAAGUCGGAAUCGCUAGUAAUCGCGGAUCAGCAUGCCGCGGUGAAUACGUUCCCGGGCCUUGUACACACCGCCCGUCACACCAUGAGAGUUUGUAACACCCAAAGUCGGUGGGGUAACCUUUUAGGAG